CUUUUCCUAUUACCUUCUUCUUUCCAAAUAUUAUUGGAUUUUCUAUCUCCAUUCUGAUUAAUGACUGAGCCAGGGUAAGGAAAACGUUCCAUACCUCUUUCCAAGACUGCCACCAGACACCUGUUCUAAAAUUUCCACAGCCUCUUUCAGACAAAUUAAGAAGCAGAAAUGUGCAACAUCAGGAUAACUCAGCCCAAGCUUCCUCAGAAGAAAU